AUGGACGCUGGCGCGGUGGCUGGAUGCCUCCGGGACAAGACCGUCCUUGUCACCGGCUCAACUGGCUUCCUCGGAAAAUUGAUGGUGGAGAAGAUACUGAGAGUACAGCCGGACGUGAAGAAGGUCUACCUGCUGGUGCGCGCGCCGGAUGCCGCCUCCGCCGAGCAGCGUAUCCUGACCCAGGUGCUAGGGAAGGACCUGUUCAACACCCUUCGGGAAAAGCACGGGCUUGCUGGCUUCCAGAAGCUGAUCAAAGAGAAGAUAGUUCCUCUCGCCGGAGACGUCGGGACUCGCAACUUCGGGCUUGACAGCUCCAGAUCUGAUGACCUGUGUCAGGAGAUUGAUGUCAUCGUCCAUGGGGCUGCAACGACUAGCUUUUAUGAAAGGUACGAUGUUGCUUUGGCAUCGAAUGCAUUAGGAGCCCAAUAUGGAUGCGAAUUUGCAAAGAAGUGUCCUAACCUGAAAUUGUUGCUUCAUGUUUCCACUGCUUUUGUAGCUGGUACUCAAGAAGGACUUUUACUGGAGAAAGCACUCACGAUGGGUGAAGCACUACGGCCCGGUUGCCACUUGGACAUUGAAGCUGAGUUGCAGCUGGUUGAGAAGGUCAAGGCUGAACUCGCAGAGGCGAAGAGUGGUGGUUCAGACCAAUCAUCGGAGAAGACAGCCAUGAAAGAACUUGGCUUAAAGAGGGCUUGUCAUUUUGGAUGGCCAAAUGUAUACACAUUUACCAAGGCUAUGGGGGAGAUGUUACUUGAGCAGCAGAGGGGAGACCUUCCUGUCGUUAUUAUUCGACCCACCAUGGUAACCAGCACUUAUCACGAUCCAUUUCCUGGGUGGAUAGAAGGGGCGAGGACAAUUGAUGCUCUGAUUGUCGCCUACAAUGAGCAGGCAUUCCCAUGUUUCGUAGGUGAUCUCAAAGACACAAUGGAUGCUGUUCCUGCAGAUAUGGUGGUAAAUGCAACACUGGCAGCCAUGGCUGUUCACUGGAAUGAGAAAGGGCAAGUCAUUUACCAUGUGAGCUCGGCAAUCCGAAAUCCAUUGACCGGUCAAGUUUUUGAGGACGCAUGCUGGGAUUACUUCUCCAUCCAUCCCCGUGUACUAGAAAAUGGGAAACCCCUCGAAAACAGAAGGCCAUACCUGUUCAAGCGAUUCGCUUACUUCCGCGCAUAUCUCAUCCUGAUGUAUAAGCUACCACUUGAGAUGUUGCAUGCAGUGAGCCUAUUACUCUGUGGGUUGUUUUCCCAAUAUUACAACAAGCACAACCGAAGAUACACUUUCUUAAUGCUCUUGGUCAAGCUGUAUGCACCAUAUGCCUUCUUCAAAGGAUGCUUUGAUGACACAAACUUAACAAGAUUGAGGAAGGAAGUAAAGAUGGACGGCAAAGAUGGUAGCCUCUUCAACUUCGACCCCAAAUCUAUAGACUGGCACUCAUAUCUCUUGAACGUCCACGUCCCAGCUGUGCUAAUGUAUGGCCGCAAAAAUAAGGGAAGCGUAUAG
rnacentral:rRNA from 1 species